rnacentral:rRNA from 1 species
AGUGGGGAAUAUUGCACAAUGGAGGAAACUCUGAUGCAGCAACGCCGCGUGGAGGAUGACGCAUUUCGGUGUGUAAACUCCUUUUAUAUGGGAAGAUAAUGACGGUACCAUAUGAAUAAGCACCGGCUAACUCCGUGCCAGCAGCCGCGGUAAUACGGAGGGUGCAAGCGUUACUCGGAAUCACUGGGCGUAAAGCGCGCGCAGGCGGCUUUGUAAGUUGGGAGUGAAAGCCUAUGGCUCAACCAUAGAACUGCUUCCAAAACUACUUAGCUAGAGUGUGGGAGGGGAAGAUGGAAUUAGUUGUGUAGGGGUAAAAUCCGUAGAGAUAACUAGGAAUACCAAAAGCGAAGGCGAUCUUCUGGAACACUACUGACGCUGAGGCGCGAAAGCGUGGGGAGCAAACAGGAUUAGAUACCCUGGUAGUCCACGCAGUAAACGAUGAAUGUUAGUCGUUGGGUAGCAAGUCUAUUCAGUGAUGCAGUUAACACAUUAAACAUUCCGCCUGGGGAGUACGGUCGCAAGAUUAAAACUCAAAGGAAUAGACGGGGACCCGCACAAGUGGUGGAGCAUGUGGUUUAAUUCGAAGAUACGCGAAGAACCUUACCUAGCCUUGACAUUGAUUGAAUUUUCCAGAGAUGGAGGAGUGCCUUUAGGGGAACAUGAAAACAGGUGCUGCACGGCUGUCGUCAGCUCGUGUCGUGAGAUGUUGGGUUAAGUCCCGCAACGAGCGCAACCCUCGUCACUAGUUACUAACAGUUAGGCUGAGGACUCUAGUGAGACUGCCUUCGUAAGGAGGAGGAAGGUGAGGACGACGUCAAGUCAUCAUGGCCCUUACGGCUAGGGCAACACACGUGCUACAAUGGUUAGGACAGUGAGAAGCGAUACCGCGAGGUGGAGCAAAUCUAUAAACCUAAUCUCAGUUCGGAUUGUAGUCUGCAACUCGACUACAUGAAGCUGGAAUCACUAGUAAUCGUAGAUCAGCUAUGCUACGGUGAAUACGU